rnacentral:rRNA from 1 species
GAUGAACGCUGGCGGCGUGCCUAAUACAUGCAAGUCGAGCGAACAGACGAGGAGCUUGCUCCUCUGACGUUAGCGGCGGACGGGUGAGUAACACGUGGAUAACCUACCUAUAAGACUGGGAUAACUUCGGGAAACCGGGGCUAAUACCGGAUAAUAUAUUGAACCGCAUGGUUCAAUAGUGAAAGACGGUUUUGCUGUCACUUAUAGAUGGAUCCGCGCCGCAUUAGCUAGUUGGUAAGGUAACGGCUUACCAAGGCAACGAUGCGUAGCUGACCUGAGAGGGUGAUCGGCCACACUGGAACUGAGACACGGUCCAGACUCCUACGGGAGGCAGCAGUAGGGAAUCUUCCGCAAUGGGCGAAAGCUUGACGGAGCAACGCCGCGUGAGUGAUGAAGGUCUUCGGAUCGUAAAACUCUGUUAUUAGGGAAGAACAAAUGUGUAAGUAACUAUGCACGUCUUGACGGUACCUAAUCAGAAAGCCACGGCUAACUACGUG